UACGUAGGGGCAAGCGUUGUCCGGAUUCAUUGGGCGUAAAGAGCGUGUAGGCGGCCAGGUAGGUCGGUUGUGAAACUGGAGGCUCAACCUUCAGAGGUCGACCGAAACCAUCUGGCUAGAGUCCGGGAGAGGAGAGUGGAAUUCCUGGUGUAGCGGUGAAAUGCGCAGAUAUCAGGAAGAACACCCGUGGCGAAAGCGGCUCUCUGGAACGGUACUGACGCUGAGACGCGAAGCGUGGGAGCGAACAGG
rnacentral:rRNA from 1 species